UGGUCGGCUGUCGUGUGGAGCCCUGUGGUCGUGGUGAUUGUUGCGGUGUGUAUCCGAUCGUGGUUCGUCCUGAAGAACAUUGAGGCUCGAUGGCAUGUGCCAUAAGUGUGUUAAAUUGAGUGACUGCAGUCAUUAUGCGCCGUAUUUUCGUGUGUAAAUCAGUUUGUAAACGCGUUACUUUGUGUUGCACUGUAUGAAGCUACGUGUCGAAGAUGAAGCGGAGGAAAUGCUAUCUUGAUUGUGGUGGUAGUAAUAGUGUCGCGGAUCUCCCGAAGACGACCAGAUGUCGUUUGAUGGGAACUAGUUCAUGUGACUCGCAUGUUACAGGCGCACAAAGUGCCUCUGCUGUAUCACUGCCCACUGCUACGCCACUACAGCAGCCCGACUCUGACGCAACGCCCCUUCACACAAACAGCCAGACAGCAGAAUUAGGCGAUGAUGGCCAGAAUGAAGCUGAACUGUUUUCCCAGUUUUCUGAUAUCAGUGAAUGUUCAGCAGUGUCUGGUGACACUGCCAAUAGAACAGAUCACUUUUACCCAUCUGAUGACCCGGGCAAUACUGGAACAGCUUCUGCGGAAGAUGAUGGUGACCAUGAAGACGCACACAACGGUCUCCCGCCGCAAGACUUGCUUGCUUUAACAGUGAAUUUCGCUAUAGAGUUUGGGCUUCCUUGGAACGGCGUCGAAGCUCUCCAGAAGCUGAUCGCGUACGUUCUUGACAGGAACGACGUUCCUGCAACCAAAUACCUUUUCAAGAAGUAUGUUGGUGCAGGUGUUGAAGCCGCGAGGUUUCACUUCUACUGCGCAGAAUGCUUGACGUGGCUGGCUGAAACUUCAGGAAAACUUCAAGAAAGAAACAGCGUUGAGGGCUGCUGUUCAAUCUGUCAUAAACAGUACAGUGGCCGCAAAAUGCUCCUCGAUGGCCACUUUUUUUUGACGUUGCCACUCCAACAGCAAAUCUCCUCUCUCCUUGCUGAUAAAUCUGUGGCAGCUGCCCUUUCCAGCCAACUUGAAGACAUUGCUCAGAACAGAGAUAACAGCCAAAUGACUGAUUUCACUGACGGUCAGUUGUAUAAAGACAUUAAGGCGAAGAUUUCACGUCACGACUUAACGCUACUGCUCAAUGUAGAUGGGGCACCGAUUUUCAAAUCAUCCAAGUAUUCAAUUUGGCCUAUUCAAGUUACUAUAAAUGAGUUGCCACCACAUCUGCGUAGCAAGAAUGUUCUGAUACCAGCUUUGUGGUAUGGACAAUCCCAUGCUGACAUGACUCUGUUCGUAAAGCCAUUCGUGGAGCAGAUGAAUCAGCUUGAAACGGCCGGAGUCACAUGGAAAGCUGGGUCUCAAAGCAUUCACUCCAAGGUAUACUGUGUAAGUUGCACUGCUGAUGCACCGGCAAGAGCGCUCCUCCAGAACAGCGUCCAGUUUAAUGGCUACCAUGGCUGCAGCUGGUGUCUUCACCCAGGGGAGAGUGUAGAUGGAACCAUCAAGUACCCAGCAGACAACAUUCCCAAGGAGCGAACGCAUGACCUAACACUUCAACAAAUGGCUGAAGCUGCAUCAAAUGGGACAUCAAUCAGUGGUAUCAAAGGGCCGUCUCCACUCAUCAACCUGAGACACUUCAAUAUAAUUUGGGGAUUUACUCCUGAUUAUAUGCACUGUGUGUUGCUUGGAGUGACUCGGCAGCUCACUGAUCUGUGGCUAACAGAUGUCAAUGAGCCAUAUUAUAUUGGGGCACCACAGGUUUUUGAACUGCUGGACAACCGCCUCCAAAGUCUAAAGCCGCCACUCUGCUUUGUUCGCCUUCAGCGUUCUUUGGCUUUGAGAAAGUAUUGGAAAGCUACAGAAUGGCAGCAAUGGCUUUUGUAUUUUGCACUUCCAUGCCUUCAAGGAAUUUUGCCAUCAGAAUAUAGGAAACAUUUCUCACUUUUUGUAAAAGGCAUUUGCCUCUUGCUGAAGGAUUGUGUGUCUUCAAGAGAUGUCACGGAAAGCACACAUUGCCUCGCGAGAUUUGUUGUAGACACACAGUUUCUGUACAGCAAGAAGCAGAUGACUUUUAAUAUGCAUCAAAUCAUGCACUUGCCAAAGAGUGUAGUUCUUCAGGGACCACUUUGGGCACAUUCGUGCUUUGCAUUUGAAACAAACCUUGGUAAGCUGAAAGAGCUUGUGACAUCAGCCAAAGGUGUUUCAUUGCAAAUUGUUGAACGUUUGCUGAUGAGUAACAGCAGCAAAAAACUGAAAGCAUUGGCCACCAUUAAAACACAGAAAUUCAUGUCAAAAACUAAGAAAGCCUCGUGCAGGAAUGCAGUGCUGCAGUUAGGCAAACCACGAGAACUGCAUGAACCACUCCUUGGCUUUGUUAAGUCUAAGCUUCGUGACAUUGUAAGCGAUCCUGUCGUUGAACAUGACAGAGUUGAAGUCUGUGGAUAUGUGUUUCACAGUGAACAGUACAGCAGGCCACACAAGACAGAUUCCACGGCUCUCAUGACCUCUUCGGGUUUGUUUGUAAAGAUUGAGCACAUAGUGUCCUUUAAGGAUACAUCAGCUAACCCAAGGUAUUUUGCAGUGUGCAAAAAAUUUGUGGUAACUCCAGCACUCAUGACUGCACAUAUCUUGAAAGCACACCAGCUGCCCCAGAAGAGCCUUGUAGAAAUACUCCCAGGGGCUUUGCCAUGUAUAUAUAUAGACUUUAGGGACAAAACCUAUUUUGUAAAAGUAGUGCGAAAGGCUUUGCAUAUAAGUCAUUGAUCACUUGUUUUUUCUAAAUGCUACUGGCCUCUGUCUACCACCUUUUUCUAUAAUCUUCAUGAUGCCUUAAACUUAAUAUAUAUAGUGUGUAACAUAACUGUCAAAGAAAAUUUUUUAAUCAUGCAGAGUUCGUAACAACACCAAAGACUUGGUCAGCUAUGAAAUUGCUUCUGACACAUUGAAAAAAUAUUGAUAGGAUGCUAAUUAUCAGUAGUUUAACCUUGCAAUUCCCAGCAUAUCACGUUUGCUAUGCUUAACUUGAUACUUCAAUAUUGAAAUUUAAGCAUUACAAGCUUAAUGCGUAGCCUAUUCUAGCAUUUUUUAUGUGCUGGAGUGAGUUUUCACUUGUAGAUACUUCAAUUAUUAAGUAAUUACUGUAAAAACUCAGGUGUUGCUCAAAUAACAUUUUAUUUUGCUCAAAUGUACUCUCCAUGGCCAGAAACGAACCUGCCCAAGUUGUUCUUGCUUUGUUUGGACAUUACGAGGCUAAUGGAUCUUUGCUGUCUGUGAUAAAGAUAAAUCCAAAUAAGUUUUGCAUUGUUGCAAGAUGUUUUGUUGUUGCAAGAUAGGAUGUGCAGUUCCAUAAAUUAUUUCGUGGCACCUGUAUCCAUCAGCAUUCAAGUUGCAUCUGUAUAAAGCAUUCGUAUGCUUGAAAACUGAAAUUGAAUGCAUAAGUAUGGGUGCCCCAUUCUUUACAUUAUUGCUCUUGAAUCUGUGCAGAGUCAUGCUGCAUGAUUAUUCUCAUCUAUAACUGUUCAUCCCAUGUAACAUAGAUGGAUUUCACAGUGCAUUAAUUGCAUAUAUGAUAGGUUGCUGACAUGCCUAUAUUUGCCAUGCAGUAAGUGAAAUGAAUUCAUUUCUGGAACAUAUAGACUGCAAUUGCUUUGGAUCAUAUAUAGCAGUAGUCAACACUGUUUAUGUAUUUAAGAAUAAAUUACUUAGGCUUUUGGAAUGUGAUGCGAACUAAAAGUUUUGUCCCUUUCUUUGUAUCCUUAUUUACCAGCUGCUUAUGUAUUUUGCCAUAAUAUUACUAGUGUGCAUAUUACAUACAUUUAUACAGUAAUGAAGUAGAAAAGAAAUUUGUGUAAUAACCUUGUUUAUCAUGUUUCAAUUUCACUUAACACUUAUCUCAAGGCAUUUGAACAUUCAUCUGGUGCUGUUUCCUUGUAAUCCAAUCAGUGUAUGCUUUAUUUACUAUAUUAACCUUGUAAUUAUGUGUUGUGUUAAGCUGACCGCAACAUAGUCUAUGCCAUUCAGGUCAUGAGGGCACAGAAAAAUAUUAACAAAUCUUGAAUCGGACAAAAACCAUUUGUUAGAAUUUUCCACUGUUGUUUUCCCGUCCAACUUAUUUUGCCUCAUACUAUUUGUAAACAAGUGCAUAUUGUGUGCCUGUACAACUACUGCAUGCGUCCCACUUGGAUUUAUAUGUGAUCUUUUCGUGGCCUACAAAUAAAGCAGUUGCAUCCAGU